GACGAACGCUGGCGGCGUGCUUAACACAUGCAAGUCGAGCGGUAAGGCCCUUUCGGGGGUACACGAGCGACGAACGGGUGAGUAACACGUGGGCGACCUGCCCUCAGCUCUGGGAUAAGCCUGGGAAACUGGGUCUAAUACUGGAUAUGACUCCACGGUGCAUGUCGUGGGGUGGAAAGCCUUGUGCGGCUGAGGAUGGGCCCGCGGCCUAUCAGCUUGUUGGUGGGGUGANGGCCUACCAAGGCGACGACGGGUAGCCGGCCUGAGAGGGCGACCGGCCACACUGGGACUGAGACACGGCCCAGACUCCUACGGGAGGCAGCAGUGGGGAAUCUUGCGCAAUGGGCGAAAGCCUGACGCAGCGACGCCGCGUGAGGGAUGACGGCCUCGG
rnacentral:rRNA from 1 species